AACUCCCCAAGACCUUUGUGAACCUUACCUGUACCGUUUCCUCGGCGGGCGGCGGCAAGCCGUUACCGGACCCCCCUGCCCCUCCAUCGGGGGCGGCGGGGGCCGGGCCCGCCGGAGGGCACCCCAACUCUUGUCUCCGGUUGGCCUCUCUGAGUCGUACUUAGCAAAUAAGUCAAAACUUUCAACAACGGAUCUCUUGGUUCUGGCAUCGAUGAAGAACGCAGCGAAAUGCGAUAAGUAAUGUGAAUUGCAGAAUUCAGUGAAUCAUCGAAUCUUUGAACGCACAUUGCGCCCGCCAGUACUCUGGCGGGCAUGCCUGUUCGAGCGUCAUUUCAACCAUCAAGCCCCCAGGGCUUGCGUUGGGGCCCUGCGGCCGCCCGCAGGCCCCGAAAUGCAGUGGCGGGCUCGCUGUCACACCGAGCGCAGUAGCGUACCUCUCGCUCCGGGCGUGGCGGCGGGCGCCGGCCGUGAAACCCCCCUACAACCCCAAAGGUUGACCUCGGAUCAGGUAGGAAUACCCGCUGAACUUAAGCAUAUCAAUAAGCGGAGGAAAAGAAACCAACAGGGAUUGCCCUAGUAACGGCGAGUGAAGCGGCAACAGCUCAAAUUUGAAAUCUGGCCUCGGCCCGAGUUGUAAUUUGCAGAGGAAGCUUCUGGCGCGGCACCUUCCGAGUCCCCUGGAAUGGGGCGCCAUAGAGGGUGAGAGCCCCGUAUGGUCGGCUGCCUAGCCUGUGUGAAGCUCCUUCGACGAGUCGAGUAGUUUGGGAAUGCUGCUCAAAAUGGGAGGUAAAUUCCUUCUAAAGCUAAAUAUUGGCCAGAGACCGAUAGCGCACAAGUAGAGUGAUCGAAAGAUGAAAAGCACUUUGAAAAGAGGGUUAAACAGCACGUGAAAUUGUUGAAAGGGAAGCGCUUGUGACCAGACUUGCGCCGGGCUGAUCAUCCGGUGUUCUCACCGGUGCACUCUGCCCGGCUCAGGCCAGCAUCGGUUCUGGCGGGGGGAUAAAGGCCCCGGGAAUGU
rnacentral:rRNA from 1 species